UACAGAGGGGGCAAGCGUUGUUCGGAAUUACUGGGCGUAAAGGGCGCGUAGGCGGCCUGUUAAGUCGAACGUGAAAUCCCCGGGCUCAACCCGGGAACUGCGUCCGAUACUGGCAGGCUUGAAUCCGGGAGAGGGAUGCGGAAUUCCAGGUGUAGCGGUGAAAUGCGUAGAUAUCUGGGGGAACACCGGUGGCGAAGGCGGCAUCCUGGACCGGUAUUGACGCUGAGGCGCGAAAGCCAGGGGAGCAAACGGG
rnacentral:rRNA from 1 species